CUGAUGCGUUGUUGGGUAGGGGAGCGUUCUGUAAGCCUGCGAAGGUGGCCUGUGAGGGUUGCUGGAGGUAUCAGAAGUGCGAAUGCUGACAUAAGUAACGAUAAAGCGGGUGAAAAGCCCGCUCGCCGGAAGACCAAGGGUUCCUGUCCAACGUUAAUCGGGGCAGGGUGAGUCGACCCCUAAGGCGAGGCCGAAAGGCGUAGUCGAUGGGAAACGGGUUAAUAUUCCCGUACUUGGUGUUACUGCGAAGGGGGGACGGAGAAGGCUAUGUUGGCCGGGCGACGGUUGUCCCGGUUUAAGCGUGUAGGUGUGUGUUCCAGGUAAAUCCGGUUCACUUUAACACUGAGGCGUGAUGACGAGGCACUACGGUGCUGAAGCAACAAAUGCCCUGCUUCCAGGAAAAGCCUCUAAGCAUCAGGUAACAUCAAAUCGUACCCCAAACCGACACAGGUGGUCAGGUAGAGAAUACCAAGGCGCUUGAGAGAACUCGGGUGAAGGAACUAGGCAAAAUGGUGCCGUAACUUCGGGAGAAGGCACGCUGACACGUAGGUGAAGUGAUUUACUCAUGGAGCUGAAGUCAGUCGAAGAUACCAGCUGGCUGCAACUGUUUAUUAAAAACACAGCACUGUGCAAACACGAAAGUGGACGUAUACGGUGUGACGCCUGCCCGGUGCCGGAAGGUUAAUUGAUGGGGUCAGCGCAAGCGAAGCUCCUGAUCGAAGCCCCGGUAAACGGCGGCCGUAACUAUAACGGUCCUAAGGUAGCGAAAUUCCUUGUCGGGUAAGUUCCGACCUGCACGAAUGGCGUAAUGAUGGCCAGGCUGUCUCCACCCGAGACUCAGUGAAAUUGAACUCGCUGUGAAGAUGCAGUGUACCCGCGGCAAGACGGAAAGACCCCGUGAACCUUUACUAUAGCUUGACACUGAACAUUGAGCCUUGAUGUGUAGGAUAGGUGGGAGGCUUUGAAGUGUGGACGCCAGUCUGCAUGGAGCCGGCCUUGAAAUACCACCCUUUAAUGUUUGAUGUUCUAACGUGGACCCGUGAUCCGGGUUGCGGACAGUGUCUGGUGGGUAGUUUGACUGGGGCGGUCUCCUCCUAAAGAGUAACGGAGGAGCACGAAGGUUGGCUAAUCCUGGUCGGACAUCAGGAGGUUAGUGCAAUGGCAUAAGCCAGCUUGACUGCGAGCGUGACGGCGCGAGCAGGUGCGAAAGCAGGUCAUAGUGAUCCGGUGGUUCUGAAUGGAAGGGCCAUCGCUCAACGGAUAAAAGGUACUCCGGGGAUAACAGGCUGAUACCGCCCAAGAGUUCAUAUCGACGGCGGUGUUUGGCACCUCGAUGUCGGCUCAUCACAUCCUGGGGCUGAAGUAGGUCCCAAGGGUAUGGCUGUUCGCCAUUUAAAGUGGUACGCGAGCUGGGUUUAGAACGUCGUGAGACAGUUCGGUCCCUAUCUGCCGUGGGCGCUGGAGAACUGAGGGGGGCUGCUCCUAGUACGAGAGGACCGGAGUGGACGCAUCACUGGUGUUCGGGUUGUCAUGCCAAUGGCACUGCCCGGUAGCUAAAUGCGGAAGAGAUAAGUGCUGAAAGCAUCUAAGCACGAAACUUGCCCCGAGAUGAGUUCUCCCUGAGACUUA
rnacentral:rRNA from 1 species